GAAAAGUUUGCCGGGUCAUUAAGGCCUGGCAUGAUAUCAACUGGCAUAGCUGCUGCAAGCUGGGCUAGUAAGAUAUCAAGCUCUUUGAUUGGCUCAGAUAACCUGGAGUGAUCCUUGGGAGCUACUGUCUGACCAGUAAGAAGGUCCCGUGAAAUUUCUACAGAAUUUCCAGCGAUGACAAGCCGAACAAUUUGAGAAGCAAGGCUUUGUUCAUUCUCAUCACCCA
rnacentral:misc_RNA from 1 species